CCCUUAGAUGUUCUGGGCCGCACGCGCGCUACACUGAUACGUUCAACAAGUUUAGAACCUUGACUGAGAGGUCUGGGUAAUCUUUUGAAUGCGUAUCGUGUUAGGGAUAGAUUAUUGCAAUUAUUAAUCUUGAACGAGGAAUUCCUAGUAAACGCAAGUCAUCAGCUUGCAUUGAUUACGUCCCUGCCCUUUGUACACACCGCCCGUCGCUCCUACCGAUUGAAUGUUCCGGUGAGCUCUUCGGACUGCGCGGUCUGCAGUUUCUGCGUUCCGUGCGGAAAGUUGCGCAAACCUUAACAUUUAGAGGAAGGAGAAGUCGUAACA
rnacentral:rRNA from 1 species